rnacentral:rRNA from 1 species
GAUGAACGCUCGCGGCAGGCCUAAUACAUGCAAGUCGAACGGGUGGUCGCAAGACCCCUAGUGGCGCACGGGUGCGUAACGCGUAACCAACCUGCCCCGAUCUGGGGGAUAGCCCGCCGAAAGGCGGAUUAAUACCGCAUAUACCCGCAGCCUGGCAUCAGGCAACGGGGAAAGAUUUAUUGGAUCGGGAUGGGGUUGCGUGACAUUAGCUAGUUGGCGGGGUAAGGGCCCACCAAGGCGACGAUGUCUAGGGGACCUGAGAGGGUGAUCCCCCACACUGGCACUGAGAUACGGGCCAGACUCCUACGGGAGGCAGCAGUAGGGAAUAUGGGGCAAUGGGCGAGAGCCUGACCCAGCCAUGCCGCGUGCCGGAUGAAGGCCUUCUGGGUUGUAAACGGCUUUUCUCAGGGAAGAAAAAGACCUUGCGAGGUACACUGACGGUACCUGAGGAAUAAGCACCGGCUAACUCCGUG